rnacentral:tRNA from 4 species
GCGGUCGUAGCUCAACUGGUUAGAGCACUCCCCUGUCACGGGAGAGGUUGCCGGUUCAAGUCCGGUCGACCGCGCAA